AGACCUAAACUGCUUUUGGUUGGCCCUGUCAAGAAUAUUUAUUUCUAGUCUAUAAAAAUCUUACUCUUCCUCUUUUUUCUUUUCCUGUGUGUGGACAAGAAAGGAGGAUAGGGUUUCUGUUUUGCUUCCAAAAAUAACCAUAGCCUCUCUUCUCUCUGUCACAACUAUCAGAGAAAAUCUAUCUCGGCUGCCUUGGAUCUUGUUAACUUCUCUAUUAUUCUGAUUGUGAUUGUUGUUGUUGUUGUAUCUAGUUCGCUUGGUGCAGGUCGGGAAACGGUUUAUUCAUUUUCUUCCUUUUGGUUCUUGUUAAUGUUGACCAUGUGAAUUGGAUUCCCGCCUUGCAUCAACUGAAUCGGAUACAGCAGUGAGUUAGUGACUCAAUAAGGAAGGGUAGUGUAUCUCUUUUGUUCCCAAGUGUCAUUUUGCUAACAAAUUAUGGUAAGGCUCUGAUUAGGAACUGGUUAUUACUCUCUUUUUCUGAAGCAUAGCUAGUAAUUACUCAGUGAUGAUGUCAUAUACUCUUGAAAUAAUAUUCCAAAUAUUGCGUUAAAAGUGUCUUAAGUCGUAAAAUAUUAUAACUCUGGCAUGUCGUUUGUUCUUCCAAUUUAAUCUUGAAAUGGGUCAUUUCAUUUACUAAUAAUGAGAGGAUUAUGUGGUUCCCUAAUCUGUUGAUUUUAAUAGGUUGUUGUCGGUGUGGAGCCUUCGCACUGAGUUGUCAUAUGUUUCCAUUUCUACCUAAUACUGUUUCUAGCUACUACCCGUUCUUUAAGGUACUUACUUAGGCUUGAUGCCAAGUAUCUGCUAGAAUUUUUGCUGUUCAGUAAUGUCAGUUUAGUGCAUCUGAGCAAGUCCUCUUCCCUAAACCCCAAGGUGUUUUCUGUAGCAUUAAAGGUGAGUCUAAUAAGCCUCCCUCCCGAGAGAUAUAUGCUUUACGGGGCUAGAUUUCAUAUCUCAUUUCCCUCAAUUGUCAUUGUGUGUUCAUUCUAAUUCUCCUAGAAUUAGAAGUGGAAUUAUAAGAUCUACAGAUUGGUUAGCUUAAGGUAAUCUCCAAUAGAAUGUUAAAAUAGCUACGGAUUGAAGGUUUAUUUAUUGUCUUGUUACAUGAUUUAGAGUUGAAGCAUUGACGGAUGCCCAUUAAUUCCCCUUUCUCUUCUGACCUCAUUUUACCUUUGUACUUUGUCUAGUAUGAACUGAUGUUGUGAAGCUGGAUGCAGUUCGACAGUGGUGGUGCAACAUAGAUUACACUUGCUACCAAUUGAUUGGGACAGUUUGGCGAGAGAGAAGGUUGAUCAUUUUUGGCAAGCGCAACGUCUCUCACUGUAAGGCAUCUGUAGUUUAAGGUACCUUAGAGAAGUUUAUUUUACUUAACCUUGUUAUUUUCAGUUAUUUACAGUUUUUUCCCCUCUUCUGCUAGGACCAGUUUUUCAUCACUUUCGACUCUGAACUGUUAGUUGUCUUGUUUGUGAAACAAAAGUCGAUCAGCUAUGUAUACCAUUGAAGGAAAAAUAUGGUUGGUUAUCUCGCGGUUGUUGAUCGGUGGCUGUGGACGGGAAAUUUUAUUUCCAUUUUCCUUGUUCAAUUCUUUUUGUCUUUUGCAUAACUGGCUUCACAAUUUUCUUUUUUCUUUAUUAGAUUAUUGUGGACAAUUUGGACGCAUCUUGAAGGGGGUUUAGUGUCUUUUAAAUUUUUAAUCAAUCAGGCACCAAGUACCAUGCUCACUUUAGGAGUUCUUGAACGGCAUGUAAAAACUUUUCUGUCCAUUUCCAUUGGCCUACUGUAGACUGCAUCCCCCCAUCAUGCAUAAAGUAGCAACUGUAUACCAUGUUUAUGAUCUGAUAAUCUACAUCUUUCAGUGUUCUGUCUUUAUCACUUGUUGUUCAGCUGCUGUGCAAGUGUUGAGCAUUUCCUUCUCUGUUUUCUUUACAAACUCCAAUUCAUAUCCCAGUGGGUUCUUACAGACAACUGCUGAUAGAGGAUCUCAAUGCCGAACGCAUUUCCGUGGAAUGCUGCUGGCUGUUGGCUGUUAGAGGCCGCAUUUCUCAAGUGUGCUGAGCAUGAAAAGAUAAACAUCCUUGGCAUCAAGAGUAAAUGCAAUUGCAUGGCUUCUCCAGGUAUGCAGUGAGGAUCUGAUGGUAGUUGGUGUAUUCUUUUCUUGGGCAUUUAAUCUGUUGCGGACCCAGAAAAUAAGGAACCCUGGAGUGUGAUGUUUAUUGGGAGGUUGGACUACUGCUUUGGCUGUAGGCACCGUCAUACUCGCUAUGGAUGGUGGGUAUUGAGAGCUGAGGGAUUCCAUUUGCAAACAGGCAGACAGGAUAAUGAUUCAGAGCUGCAGACAUAUUUACAACAGUUGUGAUGAUUUGGACGAUAUCCGAGUCACCUGCAAAGUUCUGUUCACCUGACAAAUAAACUUAAACUUGCUUUUUGGAAGAAAUACAAAGAUUUAUGAA